rnacentral:rRNA from 1 species
CCCCGGCUAACUACGUGCCAGCAGCCGCGGUAAUACGUAGGGGGCAAGCGUUAUCCGGAUUCACUGGGCGUAAAGGGAGCGCAGGCGGCACGGCAAGUCUGAUGUGAAAACCCGGGGCUCAACCCCGGGACUGCAUCCCCAACUGCCGGGCUGGAGUGUCGGAGGGGUAAGCCGAAUUCCUGGUGUAGCGGUGAAAUGCGUAGUUUUCAGGAGGAACACCGGUGGCGAAGGCGGCUUACUGGACGACAACUGACGCUCAGGCACGAAAGCGUGGGUAUCGAACAGGCUUAGAUACCCUGGUAGUCCACGCAGUAAACGAUGAACGCUCACUGUUCGGGCAGUUUGAGGCCUGGGUGGUCAAGCGAAAGCGUUAAGCAUUCCACCUGGGGAGUACGCCGGCAACGGUGAAACUCAAAGGAAUUGACGGGGGCCCGCACAAGCGGAGGAACAUGUGGUUUAAUUCGAUGAUACGCGAGGAACCUUACCCGGGCUCAAACGGAAGGGGACUGUUUGAGAAAUCAUACAUUCCUUCGGGAUCGGUUUCGAGGUGCUGCAUGGUUGUCGUCAGCUCGUGCCGUGAGGUGUCGGCUUAAGUGCCAUAACGAGCGCAACCCCUAUCGACAGUUGCUAGCAGGUAAAGUUGGGGACUCUGUCGAGACUGCCGGCGCAAGCUGUGAGGAAGGCGGGGAUGACGUCAAAUCAGCACGGCCCUUACGUCCGGGGCGACACACGUGUUACAAUGGCAGGUACAGCGGGAAGCCACCCGGCGACGGGGCGCAGAACCCGAAAACCUGUCUCAGUUCGGAUUGGAGUCUGCAACCCGACUCCAUGAAGCUGGAUUCGCUAGUA